UUUAUUUUACGUCCUACACUCAUUCGAAUGAAAAUAUUGAUUAUUAGAUUGUUUCAUUCGAUAUAUCGUUUGGUUAGUUAGGUUAGGUUAACCUUACCUAACUAACCAAAUGAUAUAACUUAUCUAAUAAUCGACAUAUCGAUCGAUAUUUUCAUUCGAAUGAGUGUAGGACAUAAAGUAAAGUGCAGCCCUUAAGUUUACGUCCUACACUCAUUUGAAUGAGUAUUAAGUAUUCGAGUAGGCCUAUAUUCGAUAUAAGUAGGCUAUCAAGUUUGUAUCAUUUGUGUAACCUUAGAAAUGGUAAAUUUUCUUGUAAAGCUUGGAGAAUUGCAAAUGUUUGGUGUUAAUGUAUGAGAGUACUUCAUAUGUAAACAAUAUUGAUGAAGUUGUCUGCUUAUUUGGGGCCAAAUAAGAAGGAGAGAAAUUUUCUUGGAAAAGAAUCGAAAGCAAUAAAGAUAAGAUAUCAUGACAGAAGAAUGCAGAAGGGUUGCUCAGCUCUUAACUUCGCCUUAUAAUCUUUAUUUAUUUCAAUUGUGUUGUAAGAAGUAUUUUUUAAACAGUAAAACUUUCUCCAAUUUAUAGACUACCUAUUAUGAUUCAU